UCCCUACUGGCUCAGACAGUAAAGAAUCUGCUUGCAAUGCGGGAGGACCCAGGUUCAAACCCUGGGUCGGGAC
rnacentral:tRNA from 1 species